rnacentral:rRNA from 1 species
UGUCUAAGUACAUGCCGUAUUAAGGCGAAACCGCGAAUGGCUCAUUAAAUCAGUUAUGGUUCCUUGGAUCGUACCUCACUACUUGGAUAACUGUGGCAAUUCUAGAGCUAAUACAUGCAGCAGAGCUCCGACCCUCGGGGACGAGCGCUUUUAUUAGACCAAAACCAAUCGGGCCUCGUGUCCGUGAAACGUGGUGACUCUGUAUAACUUUGGGCUGAUCGCACGGGCUCGUCCCGGCGACGUAUCCUUCAAGUGUCGCCUUAUCAACUGUCGAUGGUAGGUUAUGCGCCUACCAUGGUCGUAACGGGUAACGGGGAAUCAGGGUUCGAUUCCGGAGAGGGCGCCUGAGAAACGGCGACCACAUCCAAGGAAGGCAGCAGGCGCGCAAAUUACCCACUCCCGGAACGGGGAGGUAGUGACGAAAAAUAGCGAUACGGGACUCUUUUGAGACCCCGUAAUUGGAAUGAGUACACUCUAAAUCCUUUAACGAGGACCCACUAGAGGGCAAGUCAGGUGCCAGCAGCUGCGGUAAUUCCUGUUCUAGUAGUGUAUAUUAAAGUUGUUGCGGUUAAAAAGCUCGUAGUUGGAUCUCAGUUCGAGUCGGGUGGUCCCCCAACCGGGGGCUACUGCCUGUUCUCAACACGGCCGGUUUCUCUAGAUGAUCUUCACCGGUUGUCUUGGGUGACCGGCAAGUUUACUUUGAAAAAAUUAGAGUGCUCAGAGCAGGCGUGACGCCUGAAUAAUGUUGCAUGGAAUAAUGGAAUAGGACCUCGGUUCUAUUUUGUUGGUUUUCGGAACACGAGGUAAUGAUUAAGAGGGACAGACGGGGGCAUUCGUAUUGCGACGCUAGAGGUGAAAGGAAUUGACGGAAGGCCACCACCAGGCGUGGAGCCUGCGGCUUAAUUUGACUCAACACGGGAAAAUUCACCCGGCCCGGACACAGGAAGGAUUGACAGAUUGAGAGCUCUUUCUUGAUUCUGUGGAAGGUGGUGAUGGCCGCUCUUAGCUCGUGGAGCGAUUUGUCUGGUUUACUCCGAUAACGAUCGAGAUCCCAGCCUGCUAAAUAGGCGCUCCGAUUCUUCUCGGUCGGACGUUCUUCUUAGAGGGAUAAGUGGCGUUUAGCCGCACGAACGGGGCAAUAGCAGGUCAGUGAUGCCCCAAGAUGUCCGGGGCCGCACGCGCGCUACAUUGAAGGAAUCAGCGUGUGCUUUCCUGGUCCGACAGGAUCGGGUAACCCGUUGAAACUCCUUCGUGCUGGGGAUAGCCGUUGUAAUUUCGGCUUGAACGAGGAACGCCUAGUAAGCGCGAGUCAUUAGCUCGUGCUGAUUAUGUCCCUGGCCUUUGUCCACACGCCCGUCGCCACUACCGAUUGAACGAUUUAGUGAGGGCAUCGGACUGGCGCUCGGAUUGGCCUUUGGUCGAGCCGCGUGCCGGAAAGAUGUCCAAACUUGACCGUUAGAGGAAGUGAAAGUCGUAACAAGGUUUCC